UACGUAGGUGGCAAGCGUUGUCCGGAAUUAUUGGGCGUAAAGCGCGCGCAGGCGGCUUCUUAAGUCUGAUGUGAAAUCUCGGGGCUCAACCUCGAGCGGCCAUUGGAAACUGGGAAGCUUGAGUGCAGAAGAGGAGAGUGGAAUUCCACGUGUAGCGGUGAAAUGCGUAGAUAUGUGGAGGAACACCAGUGGCGAAGGCGACUCUCUGGUCUGUAACUGACGCUGAGGCGCGAAAGCGUGGGGAGCAAACAGG
rnacentral:rRNA from 1 species